rnacentral:rRNA from 1 species
UGAGGAAUAUUGGUCAAUGGACGGAAGUCUGAACCAGCCAAGUAGCGUGCAGGAUGACGGCCCUAUGGGUUGUAAACUGCUUUUGUAUGGGGAUAAAGUUAGGGACGUGUCCCUAUUUGCAGGUACCAUACGAAUAAGGACCGGCUAAUUCCGUGCCAGCAGCCGCGGUAAUACGGAAGGUCCAGGCGUUAUCCGGAUUUAUUGGGUUUAAAGGGAGCGUAGGCUGGAGGUUAAGUGUGUUGUGAAAUGUAGACGCUCAACGUCUGACUUGCAGCGCAUACUGGUUUCCUUGAGUACGCACAACGUUGGCGGAAUUCGUCGUGUAGCGGUGAAAUGCUUAGAUAUGACGAAGAACUCCGAUUGCGAAGGCAGCUGACGGGAGCGCAACUGACGCUUAAGCUCGAAGGUGCGGGUAUCAAACAGGAUUAGAUACCCUGGUAGUCCGCACAGUAAACGAUGGAUGCCCGCUGUUGGUACCUGGUAUCAGCGGCUAAGCGAAAGCAUUAAGCAUCCCACCUGGGGAGUACGCCGGCAACGGUG